CCCCCCGGGGACACGCCCCAAAAGCAGUGGCGGCGCCGCGUCGGGUCCUCGAGCGUAUGGGGCUUUGUCACCCGCUCGGGAGGGACUCGGUCGGCGCUGGUCUUCCUUUUAGGCAGCCCUUCGGGGUGCGCCUCCUCCGGUUGACCUCGGAUCAGGUAGGGCUACCCGCUGAACUUAAGCAUAUCAAUAAGCGGAGGAAAAGAAACCAACAGGGAUUGCCUCAGUAACGGCGAGUGAAGCGGCAAGAGCUCAAAUUUGAAAUCUGGCUCCUUCGGGGCCCGAGUUGUAAUUUGGAGAGGAUGCUUCGGGCGUGGCCCCUAUCUAAGUGCCCUGGAACGGGCCGUCAUAGAGGGUGAGAAUCCCGUCUGGGAUAGGUGGUCCCGCCCGUGUGAAGCUCCUUCGAAGAGUCGAGUUGUUUGGGAAUGCAGCUCUAAGAGGGUGGUAAAUUUCAUCUAAAGCUAAAUAUUGGCCGGAGACCGAUAGCGCACAAGUAGAGUGAUCGAAAGAUGAAAAGCACUUUGAAAAGAGAGUUAAACAGCACGUGAAAUUGUUGAAAGGGAAGCAUUGGCAACCAGACUUGCUUGGGGAGGCUCAGCCGGCACGUGUGCCGGUGCACUCCUCCCCGGCAGGCCAGCGUCGGUUUGGGCGGUCGGUCAAAGGCCCUGGGAAUGUAGCACUCUUCGGGGUGCCUUAUAGCCCGGGGUGCCAUGCGACCUGCCCGGC
rnacentral:rRNA from 1 species